CCUACGGGUGGCAGCAGUGGGGAAUAUUGGGCAAUGGGCGCAAGCCUGACCCAGCAACGCCGCGUGAAGGAAGAAGGCUUUCGGGUUGUAAACUUCUUUUAAGAGGGAAGAGCAGAAGACGGUACCUCUUGAAUAAGCCACGGCUAACUACGUGCCAGAAGCCGCGGUAAUACGUAGGUGGCAAGCGUUGUCAGGAUUUACUGGGUGUACAGGGCGUGUAGCCGGGCUGACCAGUCAGAUGUGAACUCCGGGGGCUCAACCCCCGAACUGCGUUUGAAACUGGUGGUCUUGAGUGUCGGAGAGGCAGGCGGAAUUCCUAGUGUAGCGGUGAAAUGCGUAGAUAUUAGGAGGAACACCGGUGGCGAAGGCGGCCUGCUGGACUGUGACUGACGUUGAGGCCCGAAGGCGUGGGGAGCAAACAGGAUUAGAUACCCCUGUAGUC
rnacentral:rRNA from 1 species